AAAAAAAACUGAUAAUGAAUACUAUAACUCGACCGUCAAUAACUUGAGCUGAAUUUCUAAUUGAAAUAGCGAUAACUUCAUACCUUGAAGCGGAUGCUUGAUAUGAAUGAAACACACACACACACAAACUCACACACACCACACACCUCCCACUCUUUUCUGUGAUGUCAUAACCUGAGGUCUUCAAUCAAAAUCACUGUAUAAAAAACCCCUUGGUAAUCCACAAUAUACAACAUUCUGGAGACAACCCCGACGCUUGAAGACCUCAAACGCUUUGACGCUCCUCGAUUUCAACCGCAAUAUGGACUUUGGAUCAGAAUGUUUCAUUGUUGAAACUGUGACAGACUGUGAUGCUGUGACAGACGAAAGUGUGCUAUAUCAUCCAUUUCAAACUUUUCAUCCGGAACCUAGUAACUACGGAUUAACCAUUCACGAAAACAGUUUCACCCCGGCUUUGUCUGACAAUCUACAAUUUAAUG